rnacentral:piRNA from 1 species
UAGGUGACCAGGUUGCUCUUGCGAUGAAAA